AAAGUAGGUGCUGUGAAAACAUCACCGCCAUUGAAAGAGAUUCGCUGUGAGACUGUUUCAUCGUCGGGUUCGUUAGACGACAACUCUGAUUGACGACGUAAAGUAUCAAGAGGUGUUCCAGUGAUCCUUCACUUCCUGAUCACGUGACUCUAUGAACCCUCAGGUGUCCCAGUGUGCCUCUGUUUGACUGUGACGUUUUCUCAGCUGGAGAUUGUGAUGACAGUUUACCCAGAGACGGAGCUCCUCAGAUGGGUGACAGCUCCUGUCUUACCCCAGUCUGAGUCUGUGGACAAGCAUAGACUGAACUGAACAGGAAACAGGAAAUAAACUCCCAACGACUCCCAGAUAAACCUCAACAACAUGUCCUGUUUCCAUGGCAGCAACCCAGGUGAGCACCUGCAGCAGAAAACCUCAGGUCAUCCGUCUCCUGAGGACCGUCAGUUCACCUGUCCCGAAGAAGACAGGUCACCUGUCCCCUGAAGACGACCGUCAGGAGACAGGUGACCUGACACAGGUGUUUACUUUGCAUAACAUUGAAAACAUGAAGGUUGCUGAUUGAUCAUUACUGAUCGUUCUUGAUCAGUCUGUUUUCACUGAUCAAUAUUUAAAUUUAUUAAAUCAAUAAUACUCA